UCCACUCAGCACCAACACGUUAUGAACACUCUGCGCCUCGGUCUCUUGGGGCGCUGUUGAGCCCUGCCCCUCCGAUGGACUGUCCAGCACACUGCCGUUUAGGGUGGCCAGAACAUUUCCUGACACACACACAAGAAAAAAACAAAAACAGCCCUGGAUCUGUAAACGGAAAACAAAGAAAGGGGUGUGGACCUUGCCACACAACAUUGUUCCAGUCAAUCAGCAGCAGGUGGCGUUUAAGACAGACGUUAGCUGCUUUAAAUUGUUGGUGGCAAAUUCCAGUGCGUAAAUUAAAUGCAGCUAGUAAGAGGGUACACUGAAUUCAGAGCACAAGCAAGGUCAUGAUAAUCUGCUGCAUCAGCCGACAGACUGGCUUUGUGCCUACCGGGUACGGAGACGAAAAACUUGACAGCGUCACGGUGUCCGUGGAAGCAGAGCUGGGCCUGUGCCAUGGAGCAGUAGGGGAUGAAGCUGCUGCUGCUCUUCUCAGAGCAGUCGUCGCUGUACACAUGGAUCACUCCACCAGACGAUGUAGGAGACACCUUAUUGGCUGAGGGAUGAGGAACCCAGGGUGACGUUCACAUCUUUACUAAGCUUAGAGAAACAUGAAGCUUUAGCCUGCAGAAAUUGUUUCAGAGGACAUGAAAGUUUGACCGGACGGAGGAGGGAGUGAGCGCUCCCACUUACCCCUCACACCAAGGAGCUGUCCCCGGUGAAGGACCACCGCUACAGGAGGCGGAGGAGGAGGAAGGCGGAGGAGAGUGGGAGGAGAGCAGAGGAGAAAGAGGACAGUAACAGUAACAGUUAUGACCAAGACUGUCUGUGGAAAGAGGGAUGGCAAGAAAACAGAAGGCGGAAAGAAAGACGGGGAGCUCACAGGGACAAGAGGGAGUGAGCUAAAGGAGAUCACAGACACAGCACGGCAGUAUGUGAGGCUGUUUUGAUUCUUCUGUUGGAAAACUGCAGAGUCCUGAGGGGUCAGUUAAAGCUGCUUAAUGAGAAUUUAAAUCGGACACAAUUUGAUUUAAUUUAAAGCUGCUGUUAGUUUCUGCAGUGUCAGUGCAAAGUAAUGUAGUGGAGAGCCGGGAUGAUUGAAACACUUUUUAGAUAAACUUCAUUUUAAAAGAUUAGGUUACAGAGAGAAACAAUUUUUUUGUUGUGAUCAACAACUCACGUGUGUUCUGUCUAUACCAGGUGAUAUUUUGUACAAACAGCUUGAAAACAUCUUCUGAAUAACUCUCUGAAAGUGUGACGUCUCCAACCUAUUUUUUGCGGUUCUGUACAUGUUGAUAUAGUUUGGCAUAUCAAAUUUGUGUGGGCUGGAGAGAAUUGUUGUGUUACUUUUGUCCCAUGUUUCAUUCGUCCUGGCUCUCCCCUACAACUCAUUAACUGUAUUUCAGAUAAGAUCUAUAUAGUCAAAAGUGUGCUAAAGCAUAUUUGCCUUGAACUAAUGAACCCAGCAAUACAAUGUCCUUCUCCACCUCAUGGGUUUGGGCUUCAUCUCAUUAUACAACCCUGUUGUAAAAUAACAAUGAACCUUGUGACUUUAAGCCAAAAUGUAAUGUGACCACACGGUGGUGCUGCUGGAUUCAGAUCCACACCAAACUCACUUAUUUGAUUAGGCUACUUAUGAAUUUUUGAAACCUGAGUUUUAGAGAUAUUCUACCAAGUAACAUGCAGACAAACAAUUGGACCACAAAAUAACUAAACUAAUGCUGUGUCAAGAGGAUUUUAAGAUCGCUGAAACUUGAAAGAUUUUGAUAAGAACUGUUAAUCACCCCAAAAAACUUUCAGAAAUUGUAUUUAAAUUUGUGGGUUUAGCAGACAGAGGAAGGUUGUUAUAUAGCCACUUAUAAUGUGUUUGAGAGUUCAUGUGAUACUUUAGUCCACACGUCACUGCUGUAAGGUGUAUAAAUAAAAAGAAACUCACUCUCUGUCAGCGGGAUGGAGAUGAUCACACCGUUUCCGGUUCCUACCCAGAGACGAUUUCCACCAAUCAGAAGUGCUGUGAUUCGCACAAAAGAGAAGCCUAGCUUGCCAGUUCCUGUGAAUUACAACCAGAGUAAGCAGAGAACAACUUGACACUGCUGCAUGUCAGUGAGAAAUGAGAAUAUAAUGAGCUACAAAUAGCAGCAUCUGUCACAUGUUGCAGUAAAAGGUAGCCGAAGUGGGUGUUUCUGUAACUAUGAUCAUUUUUAAGUCCCAGCGGUGACAUUUUGGAUUGUUAAAUUUGUCAUGUGAUGCUUGAUUAAUAUAUGCAUAUUGUUUUUACACAUCUUGACAUAAAACAUAAUCACAAAAUAAUAUGAUUUAAUAACAUUUAUGAAGCAUUUUAUGGGUCCAAACACCACUUUUCUUCAUGUCCCACAACUGUGGUCUUAAUGUUGAGAUACGCAAAACAAGAUAAUUCAAAAAAUAUGAUAUUAUUUCAAAUGAAACUGUUAGAUAUAAAUGUUCAUCUACAACAAGUUGAAAAUAAUUUUUUUUUGUUUAUUGAUAAUUUACAUAAUUUUUGCAUCUAAAAUCACCUGUCCCAUACAUCUGAGUCCUUAUCGCAACACUGAACAAAGGCCAUAGUAAAGGUUUUUUUUCAAAGCAAAACAAAUCUAGUUUCUAGGGAAACAGAAGUUAGUAAGUGA